UCACACGGUGACAAAUUGUGUUCUGUUAUACCUGUGUUUAUUGUGGAUGUAUUAUCUUUUGUAUGUAUGCGUGUUCACUGUUUUAUAUUUUCAGUUUCUGGACGGCACAAUUGAGAGUGAUGCCUCACUAGUGAUCCCUCACUAGUGUCUAAAUGAUGAACAGGUGUUUGGAGUUUUCUGAUUGGAGGGGCAGGACGCUAAAUGGUCUAUGGAGGAUUAUUAAGCUGGAGCCAUGCCGAACAGAGGGGAGUUUGGGUGCAUCGGUUUGGAAGCGAGCUCGGCGAAAGUUGUUUGUUCUGGUUCACGCGAGUGACAAACUACAAUAGCACUGUGCUGAGAACUGGUUGCGCAUCCUAUGUCCAUGACAAGGCGAAACGAAGUGGGAAAUCGCAAAGAAGGAGAACCUGAGUUGCCGAGAGCUAAGUGACGCCGGUUUCUUGCGGCCCAGUGUGCUGGUUUGUAACAUUAGAGGGGCUACGGCGUGGACUGUGAACAUUCGCCUCAUUUGCUGCAGAGUAGCCUACUCUUUAAGAAGAUUGUGUCUAUUUUAUUCUACACGUGUGGCCCAGCGGAGGCAUCUGAACUCUGUUUCUUUUGGAUCCCAUUUAUUUUAAAUGUUGUAAACGGAUGUUUGCUAAUUAGCAUUAAUAUUUGGGUUGUUUUAGAUAUUUAUCUUGCUCACCAGUUUGGGCAGAAGCCCUGGGGGAAACCUCAAUACGAAGUUGACUGUUUGUCUAAGGGGUGGGGGGUCUGUGGAAAUUAACGUGGAUCUUGUGGUUGCCUGCUGGUAUUGUGUUUUGACUGUGUUUGGAGUAGCAAGAAUGACUGCUGUUAUGCCAUAUGCUACUGUGUGCGAACAUUUGUUAACCAGUAUCUCGCUUGUUAAUUGGACCUUUUUUUUUUAUACAGGAGGAGUGCACUGUAGAAUGUAGGUGCACUCUAGCCUUCAAUCUGUUAAAUUUUUUUGUGUGUAGGAAUUUUGCGGUGUCACUAACUUCUCUUUGGUAGCAUUUGUAGCAAGUGGGUGUUCAUUCCCAUCCCCGUAUUUGGUGAUUGCCGCCUACAUUGAUUUUGUGUGUGUGUGUGUGUGUGUGUGUGUGUGUGUGUGUGUGUGUGUAGCAGGCUGCCGUAAACGCUUUUUUCUCCCUUUGCUCUCUGCCAAAUUUUACUGUUUAAAGAUUUGUUUCUUUCUUGCCUUCGACAUGUUCUACUCAGAGCAUAGUUAAAACAGAACAGUCCGCCUGAAUUUUAUAGACUGUAGGUACUGCCCCCUGGGGAGGAAUGUCGAUAUUUGUGGGGUGUUUUUUUUUUCUUUUUUUUUUUCUUUUAAACAUUUGUAAUAAACGGUGUGCUUGAUU